UACGGAGGGUGCAAGCGUUAAUCGGAAUUACUGGGCGUAAAGCGCGCGUAGGUGGUUUGGUAAGCGAGAUGUGAAAGCCCCGGGCUUAACCUGGGAACGGCAUUUCGAACUGUCUGGCUAGAGUGUGGUAGAGGGUAGUGGAAUUUCCUGUGUAGCGGUGAAAUGCGUAGAUAUAGGAAGGAACACCAGUGGCGAAGGCGGCUACCUGGACCAACACUGACACUGAGGUGCGAAAGCGUGGGGAGCAAACAGG
rnacentral:rRNA from 1 species